GAUGAAGAACGUAGCGAAAUGCGAUACUUGGUGUGAAUUGCAGAAUCCCGUGAACCAUCGAGUCUUUGAACGCAAGUUGCGCCCGAAGCCAUCAGGUUGAGGGCACGUCUGCCUGGGCGUCACAUAUCGUUGCCCGAUGCCUAUUGCAGUGCAAUAGGAAUUUCUAGGGCGAAUGAUGGCUUCCCGUGAGCGUUGUUGCCUCGCGGUUGGUUGAAAAUCGAGUCCUUGGUAGGGUGUGCCAUGGUAGAUGGUGGUCGAGUUAGAACGAUACCGAUCAUGUGCAUGCUCCCCAAAAUAUGGCCUCUAUGACCCACACGCCUCUUUUGACGCUCAUGACGAGACCUCAGGUCAGGCGGGGCUACCCGCUGAAUUUAAGCAUAUCAAUAAGCGGAGGA
rnacentral:misc_RNA from 1 species